UGGACGGGAAGGAGGGAGUAAGGAAGGAAGGGAGGUAAGGUAGAAGAAAGGAAAGAAGGAAGGUUUGAAGGGAAGGAUGGAAGGAAGGGAAGGGGGAAGGAAAGCAGGAAGGAAGGAUGAAAGGCUGGAAGGGAAUGGAGGGAGGAAGGACGAAAGGGUGGAAGGGAAGGAGGGAGGGAGAGAGAGGGACGCAAAGGAGGGAGGGAAGGC